rnacentral:sRNA from 1 species
CCCCUCCCAAAGCUGUGCACAUGGUUAAAGAAGACGACCACCCCCAUAGAGGAGGCCCAUUUCCUCAGCCAAGGGUAUACAAGUGGCUGUUGCUCCCUUGCUAGAGCCUCCAAACAAGUCCCCAUCCAGAGUCAUC